GACGAACGCUGGCGGCGUGCCUAAUACAUGCAAGUUGAGCGCUGAAGGUUGGUACUUGUACCAACUGGAUGAGCAGCGAACGGGUGAGUAACGCGUGGGGAAUCUGCCUUUGAGCGGGGGACAACAUUUGGAAACGAAUGCUAAUACCGCAUAAAAACUUUAAACACAAGCUUUAAGUUUGAAAGAUGCAAUUGCAUCACUCAAAGAUGAUCCCGCGUUGUAUUAGCUAGUUGGUGAGGUAAAGGCUCACCAAGGCGAUGAUACAUAGCCGACCUGAGAGGGUGAUCGGCCACAUUGGGACUGAGACACGGCCCAAACUCCUACGGGAGGCAGCAGUAGGGAAUCUUCGGCAAUGGACGAAAGUCUGACCGAGCAACGCCGCGUGAGUGAAGAAGGUGUUCGGAUCGUAAAACUCUGUUGGUAGAGAAGAACGUUGGUGAGAGUGGAAAGCUCAUCAAGUGACGGUAACGAACCAGAAAGGGACGGCUAACUACGU
rnacentral:rRNA from 1 species